rnacentral:rRNA from 1 species
GUAGGUGGCAAGCGUUGUCCGGAAUUAUUGGGCGUAAAGCGCGCGCAGGCGGUUCUUUAAGUCUGAUGUGAAGGCCCACGGCUCAACCGUGGAGGGUCAUUGGAAACUGGAGAACUUGAGUACAGAAGAGGAAAGCGGAAUUCCACGUGUAGCGGUGAAAUGCGUAGAGAUGUGGAGGAACACCAGUGGCGAAGGCGGCUUUCUGGUCUGUAACUGACGCUGAGGCGCGAAAGCGUGGGGAGCAAACAGGAUUAGAUACCCUGGUAGUCCACGCCGUAAACGAUGAGUGCUAAGUGUUAGGGGGUUUUCCGCCCCCCUUAGUGCUGCAGCUAACGCAUUAAGCACUCCGCCUGGGAGUACGGCCGCAAGGCUG